rnacentral:rRNA from 1 species
GAUGAACGCUGGCGGCGUGCCUAAUACAUGCAAGUCGAGCGAACAGACGAGGAGCUUGCUCCUCUGACGUUAGCGGCGGACGGGUGAGUAACACGUGGAUAACCUACCUGUAAGACUGGGAUAACUUCGGGAAACCGGAGCUAAUACCGGAUAAUAUAUUGAACCGCAUGGUUCAUUAGUGAAAGACGCUUUUGCUGUCCCUUCUAGAUGGCUUCGCGCGGAAUUAGCUAGUUGGUAAGGUAACGGCUUACCAAGGCAACGAUGCGUAGCCGACCUGGGAGGGUGAUCGGCCACACGGGAACUGAGACACGUUCCAGACUCCUACGGGAGGCAGCAGUAGGGAAUCUUCCGCAAUGGGCGAAAGCCUGACGGAGCAACGCCGCGUGAGUGAGGAAGGUCUUCGGAUCGUAAAACUCUGUUAUUAGGGAAGAACAAAUGUGUAAGUAAAUAUGCACGUCUUGACGGUACCUAAUCAGAAAGCCACGGCUAACUACGUG